GAUGAAGAACGCAGCGAAAUGCGAUAAGUAAUGCGAAUUGCAGAAUUCAGUGAGUCAUCGAAUCUUUGAACGCACAUUGCGCCCUGUGGUAGUCCGCAGGGCAUGCCUGUUCGAGCGUCAUUUCAACCCUCAAGCUCUGCUUGGUGUUGGGCCCUGCCCGCUGCGGCCGGCCCUAAAGACAGUGGCGGUGCCGCCUGGCCCUGAGCGUAGUACAUCUCUCGCUCCAGUGCCCGGUGGUAGCCUGCCAGAACCCCAACUCUCGUGGUUGACCUCGGAUCAGGUAGGGAUACCCGCUGAACUUAAGCAUAUCAAUAAGCGGAGGA
rnacentral:misc_RNA from 1 species